rnacentral:rRNA from 1 species
AGUGAACGCUGGCGGUAGGCCUAACACAUGCAAGUCGAACGGCAGCACAGUAAGAGCUUGCUCUUACGGGUGGCGAGUGGCGGACGGGUGAGGAAUACAUCGGAAUCUACUUUUUCGUGGGGGAUAACGUAGGGAAACUUACGCUAAUACCGCAUACGACCUACGGGUGAAAGCAGGGGAUCUUCGGACCUUGCGCGAUUGAAUGAGCCGAUGUCGGAUUAGCUAGUUGGCGGGGUAAAGGCCCACCAAGGCGACGAUCCGUAGCUGGUCUGAGAGGAUGAUCAGCCACACUGGAACUGAGACACGGUCCAGACUCCUACGGGAGGCAGCAGUGGGGAAUAUUGGACAAUGGGCGCAAGCCUGAUCCAGCCAUACCGCGUGGGUGAAGGAGGCCUUCGGGUUGUAAAGCCCUUUUGUUGGGAAAGAAAAGCAGCAGGUUAAUACCCCGCUGUUCUGACGGUACCCAAUGAAUAAGCACCGGCUAACUUCGUG